rnacentral:rRNA from 1 species
AUGACAACAAGUGCGACAAUGGGGGUGAUGAACCCGCUCCUCGACAAGCUCACCAACCUUCUCAGUGAAGAGUACAGGAUGCUCACCGGGGUGAGGAAGCAGGCCUCCUUUCUCAAGGACGAGCUCAGCGCCAUGAAAGCUCUUCUUGACAAGAAGGAGCUCAUGGAUGAGCUCGAUCCCUCCACCAAGAAUUGGAGGGACCACAUCCGGGAGAUGUCCUAUGAUAUGGAGAAUUGCAUCGACGACUUUAUUCAUAACAUCGAAGGUGCCGUUGCAAAGAAAGGCUUCGUCAGGAAGAUGGCUCAGCGCCUCAGGAGGCUGGGAAGGCGCCAUCAGAUUGCCAGCCGUAUCGAGGAGCUCAAGGUUCUUGCGAUGGAGGCAAGCGCUCGGCGCGAAGGUACGAUAUUGAUGCUUGCAUCAAUUCGAGUCCUGGCCCUGUGGCUGUGGAUCCUCGGAUCCCAGCGCUCUACAAGGAGGCAGCAAGCCUUGUCGGUAUUGAUGGCCCGAGAGAAGAGCUGGUGA